rnacentral:rRNA from 1 species
CAGCCGCCGCGGGAAUACGUAGGGUGCGAGCGUUAAUCGGAAUUACUGGGCGUAAAGGGUGCGUAGGCGGUUAGUUAAGUCUGUCGUGAAAUCCCCGGGCUCAACCUGGGAAUGGCAGUGGAUACUGGCUCGCUAGAGUGUGUCAGAGGAUGGUGGAAUUCCCGGUGUAGCGGUGAAAUGCGUAGAGAUCGGGAGGAACAUCAGUGGCGAAGGCGGCCAUCUGGGACAACACUGACGCUGAGGCACGAAAGCGUGGGGAGCAAACAGGAUUAGAUACCCCCGUAGUCCCUGUCUCUUAUAC